UGGGGAAUAUUGGACAAUGGGCGCAAGCCUGAUCCAGCCAUGCCGCGUGAGUGAUGAAGGCCCUAGGGUUGUAAAGCUCUUUCACCGGUGAAGAUAAUGACGGUAACCGGAGAAGAAGCCCCGGCUAACUUCGUGCCAGCAGCCGCGGUAAUACGAAGGGGGCUAGCGUUGUUCGGAUUUACUGGGCGUAAAGCGCACGUAGGCGGACUAUUAAGUCAGGGGUGAAAUCCCGGGGCUCAACCCCGGAACUGCCUUUGAUACUGGUAGUCUUGAGUUCGAGAGAGGUGAGUGGAAUUCCGAGGGUAGAGGUGAAAUUCGUAGAUAUUCGGAGGAAAACCAGUGGGGAAGGCGGCUGACUGGCUCGAUACUGACGCUGAGGAGCGAAAGCGUGGGGAGCAAACAGG
rnacentral:rRNA from 1 species